rnacentral:rRNA from 1 species
UACAGAGGUCCCAAGCGUUGUUCGGAUUCACUGGGCGUAAAGGGUGCGCAGGUGGGUUGGCAAGUUUGAUGUGAAAGCCCCGGGCUUAACCCGGGAAUGGCAUUGAAAACUGCUGAUCUGGAGGAUCGGAGGGGGGACUGGAAUUCUUGGUGUAGCAGUGAAAUGCGUAGAUAUCAAGAGGAACACCAGUGGCGAAGGCGAGUCCCUGGACGAUACCUGACACUGAGGCACGAAAGCCAAGGGAGCAAACAGG